rnacentral:rRNA from 1 species
GAAUUUUGGACAAUGGGCGCAAGCCUGAUCCAGCAAUGCCGCGUGCGGGAAGAAGGCCUUCGGGUUGUAAACCGCUUUUGUCAGGGAAGAAAUCUCUUGGGCUAAUACCUCGGGGGGAUGACGGUACCUGAAGAAUAAGCACCGGCUAACUACGUGCCAGCAGCCGCGGUAAUACGUAGGGUGCAAGCGUUAAUCGGAAUUACUGGGCGUAAAGCGUGCGCAGGCGGUUGUGCAAGACAGAUGUGAAAUCCCCGGGCUCAACCUGGGAACCGCAUUUGUGACUGCACGGCUAGAGUGCGGCAGAGGGGGAUGGAAUUCCGCGUGUAGCAGUGAAAUGCGUAGAUAUGCGGAGGAACACCGAUGGCGAAGGCAAUCCCCUGGGCCUGCACUGACGCUCAUGCACGAAAGCGUGGGGAGCAAACAGGAUUAGAUACCCUGGUAGUC